UUCAUCUCUAGUGCUACCUGACCUUGCUGUCUCUGACUGGAGCCUAUCACUCCUGUGUUCCUGGCUGUGUCAGAAUUCCUCAGAGUCCAACUUUCACUGUGAUCCUUUGAUUCUGGAAUCCUGUGAUUUUGAAAUUCUGGGUGUGUCAGAGCUCCUGGGAGUCAAGCUUUCUCAGGGGGUUGCAGGAGUGACUGGGGGGCUAGAGCCCUGGGGUUUGUUCCAAGCUCAGGUGCAAGCUGAAAGGAACCUGUGCCUCUGGCUGAACAGGGUCACAUUAGGUCAGCUACCCAUCAGCUGGACACUAAGAAAGAAAGAAACUUGAAAUGUGCUGAUCGAUUUUGCGAUAGAAGGAAAGCAUGGCUCCUUUUCCAUCCAUUCACUCUCUUUAAUCACAAGCAAAGCAAAGCGGAACAAAACAACAAAGGAAAAGUUCAACAAUGCAAAAUGUUAAAAUAAAGACAACAAAUAGUUCUA